CCUGCAGAUACAUUUUGUGCAUCAUGGAAUGCCAUCUCUUUAAUGUAUUCUGAAAAAUGGUUAGGGCAUUUUCAUUGGCAUGACAAGUGACUGUUGAUGAGACAAUUUAAUUAUCUCUUCGAUGACUUCACAUUACGCAAGCAUGUCUACUAGCGAUGAGGGUUUUUAAAUCCUUUUCAACAAAUAAGUUUUCUGCACAUCGUGCAUUCAUCGUGUUCCAUAAAGUGCCUCUUAAACAAUACUCUGCUCAGGAUUGAAAUAAUAAACUAGAAUGUGUGCAGUCUCAUAUGGCACAUUAGGGCAACUUAACUCUCAUCGUGGAGAGAUUUUCCUAUCGAGAAGACAAUUUAUUUGUCUAUUUGAUCAAGCCAUGGCCUAUGACUUUGCCGAGCAUCUCCUGUCUAUCGAACAUACUUAUGUAAAUCGAACAUGCUAUUUCCUUUCUAAGGAACAGAUUGUCAGAGAAAUAAUGCGAAUUACAAUAAGAGAGAAUGCACGUUCCACGAUGUCGCUGGCAGCGUAUGGCAGGAGCUAACACACAUUCCACGAUGUCACUAGGACCGUAUUUCAAGAGAUAGAUAUGUUGCAGUCUAUGCUUCCACAUUUUUGACCUUGUUUAUGUAUCCAUGUUUUCCAUAUAGGUCAUGCGAUGGCAGAUUCCUUGCAUAUUGAGAAUGCCUAUUACCUUGAUGGUGAGACAAUCUAUCGCCAUCCCGCUGCUUGAGCCCAUGAAAGAAAAGUUUUCACAGAUUUGUUGAUUUUCCCAAGUGAGGCAUUUCUUUCAUGAAAUGCUUUUUACUGUUUGGGGUUUCACGUGUUUUGCAAGAUUUAUUUGUUAAUGAAACAUAAAAAAUUGUCCCUUGGUGUGUAGCUUGCUGAUGCUUUACUCUUGAAAUCUUUUUAGAUUUAAAAUAUUUUGCUAUUAUUUAUUUCAAAUCCAUUUCUUUUCCCAUGAUUGCCAAGACCUCUACCUGCAGGAUUUUUCCAAGUUUGUAAGAAGGAACGGGAAGGGAAUUCUAGAAUCAUAAUUGUAGAAUGCCCAUGUUUUAUAAUUUACUGUAGAUACAUCUGCACAUUUCUCUCUGCCUUGCUACCAUGGAAAAUAAUGAGCACUGUGUGCAUGCUUACAACAACCCCAUCGUCUGUGACGGAAAGGAAGAUUAUUCACAUUGAUAGGUGAAGUGGGAGGCAUGAAAGCCCUCUGCAUCUGCUGAAAACUCAUUGACAGUUCAUUCACGAAGCACACUGUUGUGACUGUACUGCUGUCCACGACCUUUCUACUUUCGGUUUUAUUCACAGACGGUUGUAGAUGCGUUGAGAGUUAUUCACAGUUUUCUAAGCGAGAGAACGCACAAAAACCCAAGGCAUGGUGGCAAAAUAGAGGUAUGAAGUAUCCAUUUCUAGACACGAGGCUGCACGAUCUAACAUUGUAGUUUGUACCACUGCCGUUGUUGCCCCAGUGCCGGUGCUAUUUCCAUCCAUCCUUCUCUUUGAAUUUGCAUUUGAAACUACUUUUUUAGGUGUGCUAGUACAAACACAUUUUUGCAUGAAUCAUAUAAAUUGUCCAUGUAUUCUAACACAUAGAGCAUGCUCUGCUAAGAUUUUGAUAAUGGUGAAAUUGUCAGGUAUAUAAUACGACCUAUGUUUUCUGUUUUCAGUUCUGUAUUUCUCUUAUAAGAGAAAACAUAACAUUUCAUUGUACACUUUCUUGAAAUGUCAUAUCCUGUAUUUUAAAUAGGGUUUGGAAUCCUUCUCUACACUUUCUUGUCACAGUCAUAUCCUUUAUUCAUUUCUUUCACUAUCCACUAUAAGCUUCUUCAACUUUACCAGCCACCACAACCUUCUUCAAAUUCACCAUAAUUCAACUUAUCCUCUUUUUCCUUUUCUAAAUGUGUUUUGAGUAAAACAUUCUUGACCAUACUUCCAUCAAUGUGACUUACAUUUUGCUAAUUUUACUCUUUGUCCCCUCUCAACAAGAUUUCAUUGUGUGUAGUUUGAGAAACAAUUUUAAUUCAAAGCCUUACAUUAAGCCGUUUCAACUCAACCCCCACUAGAUCUAACAAUUGCUUGGUUAGUAUCCAAUGGCCAACAUUGUCUGUUGUUUCAACACACAAAUAUGUUUCUGUGCACAAUGGAUUUGCAUCUGAGUCAUCCACUUGUGAAAAACAUAAAUAUGUAUCAUACCAUGUUUGUGAAUAUUUACAAUAAAAUUGAUAAAUUGUAUCCUUCCAUUCAGAAACAAUACAAACCAUUCAUUUCAAUUGAGAAGAGGCCUUUGUAUACAUGGUAUAGUUCACAACAUUUCAAGUUGAACUUUCUCAAGAACAUUCAUUUAUUUUCUCCGACAUCUUUAAUAACCAUCUACAUUUCUUUACUUUCCUUGGAAAAACAUCUCUAAUAUGUACCAUCAGAGCUUUUACCCAUAUUAUUUGCAGUAAAAGAAUGCAUUCUUGCAUUCUUCCAGACUAUGUCUCCCCAAUUAGACAUAAUUGAGAAAAUGCGAGCAAUUUUGAUAGAUUGGCUUAUUGAGGUCUUUCCUUUCCCUCACUCUCCAAGUUAUAGAAUGUUUUUUAAUAAAUUCCAAAGGCACUUAGUAUCCAAUGCCAUGUAUCAUCUUACUGGGUAGGUCCAUUUGAAAUUUGGUCUCAUGCAUGACACUAUUCCUAGCAAUCAAUCUCUUUGAUAGAUAUCUUUCCAGUCAAAGUGUAGUGAGAAAAUCAUUGCAGUUUGUUGGGUAACUUCUAUGUUUUUGGCCUCUAAAUAUGAGGAGAUAUAUGCUCUCAUCGUUGAAUAUUUUGUCCUUGUUUUUGACAAUGCGUACAGAAAAUUUAAAAUUCUACACAUGGUGAGUAUAAUAUGCAUCAUUCAUUUUCUUAAGCUAAAACAAUAAAUCAAAUGAUACUUUUCUUAUGUUUGGUUUGAUCUAACUUAUAGUGAUUAUACAAUACAUUGCUAACUACAGGAGACAUCAAGCCUUAACACAUUACAAUUCAAUAUUACAGUUCGAACUCCUUACAUCUUCACGAUGAGGGUCCUUAAGGAAGCUAGAUCUGAGAAGUAUAUAAGUCUCGUGAUCUUAAUAAGGGUUAAUACAUAUUUUCUUGUCCAAUGCAAAAUAAAUUCUAAUGGAACUUUCCUGGUCUUUUAGUUGGAAAUGGUGUCCUCGUUUCUCAUGGAACUAUACUAGGUGGAGUAUAUUAUGUUGAAAUAUCCCCCAUCAAUGCUAGCAACUGCAACAAUGUACACAACUCUAUUCAUCCUCAUAAGGGCUCCAUCUUGGAGCAGGACAAUGGAGUGCCAUACUAUCUACACUAAGAAACAAUUAAUGUGAAUGGAAAAACUCUUCCCUGCUAGUUUCUGUAUAUUUUUGUUGUUGAAACUAGUUCUGCUUCUCUGUAUUUUUUUCUGUCAUUGUUCACUAUAAUCAUGCAGAGAAUGUGCCAAGUUGAUGACUGGAUUCCAUCAAAAUGAUGUUCAGAAUUUAUGAUUCACAAGA